rnacentral:rRNA from 1 species
UACGUAGGGUGCAAGCGUUGUCCGGAAUUAUUGGGCGUAAAGAGCUCGUAGGCGGUUUGUCGCGUCUGCUGUGAAAAACCCGAGGCUCAACCUCGGGCCUGCAGUGGGUACGGGCAGACUAGAGUGCGGUAGGGGAGAUUGGAAUUCCUGGUGUAGCGGUGGAAUGCGCAGAUAUCAGGAGGAACACCAAUGGCGAAGGCAGAUCUCUGGGCCGUAACUGACGCUGAGGAGCGAAAGCAUGGGGGAGCGAACAGG